AAGGGAAGCUUUAAGAAAUAUUUAGGGCAGACUGCCUGGGGAACUUACUUCCCCUGGUAAUUGAUAUGAUCCCAGUUUAUAGCUGCAGGUAUGAUGCAAGUCUGUGCAUGUCUGGAGACUAUGUCUAACCAAGGAUUUUCUUAGUGAAGUAGUAAAACUGAACUCUGUGGAAUUUUGAGAAAUAAUUCGCUCAGCGGCCAGCCACUGACACGUAUAGAGGAGCUUUGUGCAAGCACCAAUUAUCAAAAGGCUGUGCUUUCAUCCACACCAUUAAUUUCUGAAGGCAGAAGAGAGCAUGGUGAGUGCAUGUAGAAACACUGCUACACAAAAUCUAGGACAAAUAAUUCUAGGAAAGAUGAUCCUCUAAAGACCUUAAUUUCUUAACCUGGGCCCCUGUCACGUAUAUCACAAGGGCAAAUAUGAAUAUGCUUUAGAGGUAAGUCUUACCUUUCAUCCCAGAAGUUCACGUUUUUCUCUUUUUUUAAGUUUUAUUGAAGUGUAUUUGCUUUACAAAGCUGUGAUCAUUUCUCCUACAUGACGAAGUGAUUCUGUUAUACGUACCUGCACAUCCAUUCUUUCUCAGACUAUUUUCCCACACAAAUUAUCACAGAAUAUUGUGUAGUUCCUUGUGCUCUACAGCAGGUCCCUGCUGACCAUCCAUU
rnacentral:lncRNA from 1 species